rnacentral:rRNA from 1 species
AUUGAGCGCUGGCGGCAGGCUUAACACAUGCAAGUCGAGCGGGGGAAGGUAGCUUGCUACCGGACCUAGCGGCGGACGGGUGAGUAAUGCUUAGGAAUCUGCCUAUUAGUGGGGGACAACAUCUCGAAAGGGAUGCUAAUACCGCAUACGUCCUACGGGAGAAAGCAGGGGAUCUUCGGACCUUGCGCUAAUAGAUGAGCCUAAGUCGGAUUAGCUCGUUGGUGGGGUAAAGGCCUACCAAGGCGACGAUCUGUAGCGGGUCUGAGAGGAUGAACCGCCAAACUGGGACUGGGACACGGCCCAGACUCCUACGGGAGGCAGCAGUGGGGAAUAUUGGACAAUGGGGGGAACCCUGAUCCAGCCAUGCCGCGUGUGUGAAGAAGGCCUUAUGGUUGUAAAGCACUUUAAGCGAGGAGGAGGCUACUCUAGGUAAUACCUAGGGAUAGUGGACGUUACUCGCAGAAUAAGCACCGGCUAACUCUGUGCCAGCAGCCGCCGUAA